ensembl:snRNA U6 U6 spliceosomal RNA
GCGCUUGCUUUGGCAGCACAUACACUAAAAUUGGAACAAUAUAGAGAAGAUUAGCAUGGCCCCUGGGCAAGGAUGACACACAAGUUCAUGAAGCGUUCCAUAUUUUU